UUAAUGGCAAUUAUUAUCAAAAUGCGUUUUCCCCUACUCUCACUUUUUCUCCGUCUUUGCGUUUCAGUUUUUCAAACCGCUUUCCCUUUCAUUCCUAUUAUCAAAACGCGUUCUCCGUCCUUCUCUCAGGCCGCCGCCGCCCCUGUCUGCCAUCUCUCAUCGCCUCCCUUCCAUGGAAUUUAUCAUGUUUUGGUGUAUGCGGUUUUUUUAUUCUGAUCGCUCUUCAAUUUCUUAGGGUUCUAACCUCUAAUCGCACUUCAUCCGCUUCAUUUCAAGGAUGUGAUUAGGAGCUCUAAUUCUCAGAACGUGAAAAUGUUGGACCCAGCGAGGCUUUGGAUUCUGAGCAAAAAACUUUCAUUAGAGCAGUCAGGAAAUCUCGCGGCUGGACCAAACCGAUUCAGAGGUGAAACUUCAUUUUUAUACAGAUUACCCAUGGUUGAAUUACGAGUAUUGGGUUCCAAUACUCAGUUACGAAUGGAAGGCCGAUACAGAUUCCAUGGUAGUUUUUCGUCUGCGACUGCAAGUUCGACUUUGUCCAACAAAUUUGCGGGAUGAGGCAGCAGUAUCACCACCCACACGGUUUCCAGCUGAGUAUGUGCAAGAAUUUCAGAAUUGUUUUCACAGACCUCCUGCAGUUCCUGUGUCUGAAUCCUCAAGUUCAUCGUGGCUGCAAGUUUGACCUCAUCGCCAUCUCAGUCAAGCGAUAUUAUUUAUCAUCUAGAGACUAAAGUACUGGGUAUUUGCCAUACCUUAGCAUUCAACUCAUCACAAGGAGGAUUGGUGAGUUGUUUUCAUAACACAACUUACUGAUUUGCAUUUUCUCUUUCACUUUUUAUAAGUUUAUUUGGUUGCUUGAUCAUUGCUUGACUCUUUUAUUCAGUGUCAGAGAUUACCUUUGUUGUCGCUGCUAUUUUGAUGGUCUAAAAUUACACUUUUUGCCCCAAAGUGAGGGUGCCUUCUUUCUUUGCAUAUUGAUAUUAAUCUGAUUUAGUUUUGUGGUAUGCCAUUCGCAAGGUAAUUCUUGAACUGAGUUCAAAUCCAAAACAUUACUCAAUCAUUCAUUGGCUUCAGGUAUUCCUUGGUUUUGUUAAUCUGAUGCUAACUUCCUUUUGUAUUAAUCAGGAGAAAAUUGAAGAACUUUGUUUAUGCGCAAUAGCAGGGAGUAAAAGAGUUUUCAUGUAUGUUAAGUGCACUGUCAUGUACUAUACUUUCAUGUAGAAGCUUCCAUCCCACUUUCAGGAGAGCAACUAAAGAGUGAACAGGAAGUGAACUAUCAGCAGGAGAAAAUAAAGCAGAGAAUGAAAAAGUGACGAAGCAAUUGCUUCAUUUUUGGAGAUCAUUGGAAGUUCUUUGGAAGAACUUUCAUUCAAGGGAAAACCAUAAAGUUGCAGGUUAACACGUUUCAGGGGUUGAUGCUGAUAUAAACUCCAGGUGGUUCAAGUGGUUGUCUUCCUCUUCAAGUUUUCUAACAUUGAUUGUCAUUCUCAAAUGCUCCAUUAGAAUCUCCAAUUGACAAUGUCUUCAUGGGUAUAUCUUGAUUCAAUAUUUAUGAAGGCUUUAUCUUCAAGUAUGAGAUAUAAAAGAUAAAAGUCUUUAGCCAAUCAACAUGCCUCUGUGUAGAUUGUUCCUUUCCUCGCCAGCAAUGACAGCUGAUGUCAUUCUCUUGAAGAUUAUUAGAACAAGAGACUUCAGGGUCAGUGAAGCUCUCAAUAUCCUUCUCAAGUGUUUAGUGCUGACAGCAUGGCACCAUCGUGGAAGAAGAUUUUGGAGUUCAAUGAGCUUCAAGGAAGGUUAUGUAAAACUAAUGUUAAUUUAAUAAAGUGUUAAGUUAGUAUUUGCCAGUUUUCGUUUUUAUUUAAAAUAGGACCGGAUGGAGAACAUGUUCGACAGUUUUUUACUAUUUAUUUGUAUAUAUUAGAAUGUAGCCAAGUUUGAUAGUAACAUGUAGUUGUUUUAUCUUUUCUCAAAUUUGUAAUGACAAUUGUUUUGUUUUGUAAAAUGUGAUAUCAUGGAAGCAUGACUGUGAAGCAUGUUAUCUUGGUUAAAUAA